GAGGGUAUAACUCAGUGGUAGAGUGUGUGCUUAGCAUGCACGAGGUCCUAGGUUCAAUCCCCAGUACCUCCA
rnacentral:tRNA from 1 species